UACAGAGGGGGCAAGCGUUGUUCGGAAUUACUGGGCGUAACGGGCGCGUAGGCGGCCGCCUAAGUCAGACGUGAAAUCCCUCGGCUCAACCGGGGAACUGCGUCUGAUACUGGGUGGCUUGAAUCCGGGAGAGGGAUGCGGAAUUCCAGGUGUAGCGGUGAAAUGCGUAGAUAUCUGGAGGAACACCGGUGGCGAAGGCGGCAUCCUGGACCGGCAUUGACGCUGAGGCGCGAAAGCCAGGGGAGCAAACGGG
rnacentral:rRNA from 1 species